CCAGAGAUGGAUUGGUGCCUUCGGGAACUCUGAGACAGGUGCUGCAUGGCUGUCGUCAGCUCGUGUUGUGAAAUGUCGGGUUAAGUCCCGCAACGAGCGCAACCCUUAUCCUUUGUUGCCAGCGGUCCGGCCGGGAACUCAAAGGAGACUGCCAGUGAUAAACUGGAGGAAGGUGGGGAUGACGUCAAGUCAUCAUGGCCCUUACGAGUAGGGCUACACACGUGCUACAAUGGCGCAUACAAAGAGAAGCGACCUCGCGAGAGCAAGCGGACCUCAUAAAGUGCGUCGUAGUCCGGAUUGGAGUCUGCAACUCGACUCCAUGAAGUCGGAAUCGCUAGUAAUCGUAGAUCAGAGUGCUACGGUGAAUACGCUCCCGGGCCUUGUACACAC
rnacentral:rRNA from 1 species